rfam:Populus trichocarpa isolate Nisqually-1 chromosome 11, whole genome shotgun sequence.
CCACUGAAUCAUGAUGAUAUUAUAACAUAUAUUCUUGCAGGACUCAGCCAUGAAUAUGACAGCUUUGUGGCCUCCAUAUCAGCAUGUACUGAUGCCAUUACCCUUGAGGAAAUUUAUUCUCUAUUACUGACUACUGAAGC